GCGUGAGUGAAGAAGGCCCUAGGGUUGUAAAGCUCUUUCAGCGGGGACGAUGAUGACGGUACCCGCAGAAGAAGCCCCGGCUAACUUCGUGCCAGCAGCCGCGGUAAUACGAAGGGGGCUAGCGUUGUUCGGAAUUACUGGGCGUAAAGCGCGCGCAGGCGGUGCGUUUAGUCAGAGGUGAAAUCCCGGGGCUCAACCUCGGAAUUGCCUUUGAUACUAGCGUGCUAGAGUCCGUGAGAGGGUAGCGGAAUUCCCAGUGUAGAGGUGAAAUUCGU
rnacentral:rRNA from 1 species